rnacentral:rRNA from 1 species
UACGGGGGGGGCAAGCGUUGUUCGGAAUUACUGGGCGUAAAGGGCUCGUAGGUGGCCAACUAAGUCAGACGUGAAAUCCCUCGGCUUAACCGGGGAACUGCGUCUGAUACUGGAUGGCUUGAGUUCGGGAGAGGGAUGCGGAAUUCCAGGUGUAGCGGUGAAAUGCGUAGAUAUCUGGAGGAACACCGGUGGCGAAGGCGGCAUCCUGGACCAAUAUUGACGCUGAGGAGCGAAAGCCAGGGGAGCAAACAGG